rnacentral:lncRNA from 1 species
AACUUUUGUGCUGGUUUGAAUUUCCGUUAAAAAAUAAAGCCGUUUCUCAUGUUCCAAAUGCCCCAGCAAAUAUAUGCAAACAUUCCUUGUUCUUCCUUACUUGAGGAGAGCUGUAAUGCAUGCAAUAGAUCUCUAAAAGAAUUGACCUUCCACAGCUCACAUACAUUCCCCCAUACUAAAUAGUGAAUUCAAACCAACAACAUUUGAUUCCCCUCCACAUAAUUUAUCCUUCUCUGUACAUGCCAG